GGGUGCGCUCUGCCUUCUCCCGCCCCGCUCCGCUUCCCCCGCCUGCUGGAGCCGGGGGGGAGGCGCCGAGGCGCGGGGCGGGGAGCGGCGCUAGAGCCGGAGCCUCCCGGGCAGGGGCGCGCAGCCAGGAGGGAGGGAAAGUGCAGGAUGGAGAUGCUUCUAAUACCUGUGUCGCCUGCAGAUAAGCUGUAAUGAACGCAGCUGGCAGCUAAGCACAAGUUUGGUUGAGAGAGUCUGAGCUGGGACAAGGGUCAAGCUGGAUCCAGCUUCAGGUAUGGACAAAGGUGGCCCCUGGGCUGAGGCUUCACAAAGGAAGUUUUGGUCUGGGAUUUGUUUUCAUGGCACAGGUGAAGACCUUUGGAAAAGAACUUUGUUUCCAUGAUAAAAGUAACUAAAUUAAAGUGUAUUAACUACACUGUUAUAACUUUUAAAAAAAUCUGAGAAUACAGAGAUACUUUUUCCUUUGUUUUCUCAGAAGAAAGAAUGUCUUGUAUGUUCUAUUCACAUGAAGUUGUAGAAAACGCCGCCCUGAAAACUAUGGGGGAAACUUACUCGAAGUUCGAAACCAAAAUUAAAUGUUGAAACUCGUUGAUUUUCCCUCUGCCCCAUUCACAUGCGCGCUGCUUGUAUUGCAAGGGUUUGAGAAGUCUUGAGAACUGUUUGGAGGACUAAAAAUGAAUGGAAAUGUUCCAUAGGCCAAAUACCUAAGCAUCCUAUCACAACGGUAAAUAAAUUUUAAAUAAUGUCUUUGUGGAGUACAGCUCUUCUUAAACAGACGGCAACAACAACAAAAAAAAACCCUUGUCACUGUACUAAUACUCUCAGGAUACCAAAAAAAAGUAAGUUGGAUUUAAAAAUGGAUAUGAUGAUGCCAUUUAAAAUGAGGAUCCAAUUUUGCUGUUUUUAAUAGAGGGAGAAACUGUUUACAUUUUGAUGAAGCCAUACUAGCUCUUAGGUGAGGAAUUUUUAUUAUGUGUUUCUAUGAAUAAAGCUGUCAACUGUCUGUUGUAGAUGUCAUUGAUUAGAAAUACUGUAUACUGACACAGUGUAUGGAAUCCUGCCUUGACGGAGUCCUUAACAGCGGAGCAGCAAAAGCAGUCUGAGCCCUGCUUACAAUAGUGGGAAGCUGCUCUAUAGGAUCCCUGGUCAGUCUCCUGUUGGAAGAUGAAAAUAUUCUCCAUCCUGAUCUGUAUGUUCUGUUUUUUAAAGCUCAAGUACAAAGAAGUUAAUAUUGUGAGUAAUUGUUAUAAUCACUACAGUUAAUGUUUGAUUUUUUGUACAUGGUUCACAUUUUUGUCCAAUUUCUUCAUUGCCUAAAAGAGAUCUGUUGUUAUCUCUGUGCAAAGGAGGUUCUAAAUGCAGGUUUGCAGCUGAAGCUGAUCAUAUGUCAGAAUCCUGGGCCAAAAUCUGAAAUACUAAAAACACCCGCUAUGGAAACUUCAGUUAUGGCUGAGCCUGUGUUAGCUUUUCAUGUGCUUCUAUAUGAUUAUUUUCCAGGUAUUUUCUGAUCAAGCUUUAUAGACUAUUUAGUGUAACUGCAAUGUGGCCAAUCGGGUGAUUUCAUCCACACUUUAUAUUUUGUUAUGCAUGGUUUAUUUGCUUUUUUUUUUUUUAACAUGAGUACUGCAGCCUUGCAUUAACACAGGUUUUGAAUGAAGGGCUCCUAUACAUAAAGUGUAUGCCUCAUGUGUGAAAUCUUACUGUGUUCUAUGAGUAAAAUUGUUGAAUAGCUGAGCGUUUGCUGAAAUGAGCUGCUGAUUGUUUUUUGUGGUUUAUAAUACUCCUUUGUAGAUCUGCUGAUAUCUUGUUUGUCCAUGCUGCAUCCGGACAAUGCAUUCCUUCAUGUUUUGUGUAACAUCGAAGUCUUCAGUCAUUUCUGUGUAUGUAGAUACGGUAACUGGAAAGUGAAAAUUUGUUCUUAAAUUGUCCCUCUUCCUGCCCUUAACUUCCCCACCUGCCAGCAUAGCUGGAAGAUGGUCAUUAAGGGCAAUUUGGAACAGUAUUAAUUGCUGGUAUCCAGGAAUUUUGUGGAAAAGGAACAAAAAUGAGCAUUGGCAAACCAUAUACAUUUUCUGACAACACAAUCUUAUGCUUUGAGACCCUUAAAAUCAAUAGAAGAGUCCUAUAGGCAAAAAAAAAAAAAAGAGCUCAAGACAUUGGAUGAAUAAGCUCUGGAGCUUAUGGCCAUUUUCAGAGGCUUGGAUGUCAGUUGUCAGGCCUGUUGUCUGUUGUUCAGUUGUUUAAAUCUCCCCAGUAGUGGUUAGCAAGGUGUAAACUGCAUGGUCAAGUCUAAACCCAGAAGGGUUCUUGCUUAUUGCUCGGUUUUUAAAAUGUAAUCAGUCCUUUGAGGGAGUUUUGGCAAGUUCAAAACAAUAUGUUUUUCAGUGCUUGCUUCUGGGGCUGGUGUAUAAUUGCUCUGGCAUGUGAGUGAUUCCAUUGGUUUCCGCAUUAAUUGCUUGUGAAUACUUCAUGUUUGUGUCACAAUAUUCUGUUUUCCAGCAGUGUUUCGAGUAAGGGAUUGAUACUCUACUGGGAAGCUCAGACGAGAAAUGAAGAAAAGUUAUUUAAAGCAAUGCAUAGAAUGGGAGGCAGCUGUUUUAAGUUAGCAAAUUAGGAGGAGAAGAAGAGGUGAAUACUUCUGGCCAGCGCACAUGGACGGCGCAGUUCCUGCAAGGUUUCACGCUGUCACCAGAGCUUCCCAGGGUUUCCUAAAGUGUUCAGGCUGGGCUAGAAUUUUGGAAUUGGAGGUGGUAAGAUUUUGUUUUGUGUUUUCUGUACGUAGCAGUGAAAGGGCAGGGAUCUGGAGGGACUGCGUUAGUCUCAUAAUGACUAAAAUCUUUUAAAUUCAGGCAAGAAAACCCCCCAACACUUAAACAUAAAUAAAAAAACACAAACAUAAAAAACCACCUUCUGGUUUUGCACUUUCAUUACACAAGGUUUUGUAUCAGUAAUAAAUUAAUUUGUUUCAGUACUUCUUGCUGUGUUAAUACCUUCUAUUUGCCAUUCCUUAAACUGUAGGUCAGACUUUUCGUUUAUUAAUAUGUUUCCAGUUAUGUUGAAUGGAACAUUUCAGAUUUGAUUCAAAAUGGAAUUAGGGAGUGAGAAGCUCUUGAAAAAUUUUGAGGGACAAGGGAUAAGGAAUGUUUUGCUAGAUCCAGGCUUUUUUUAAAUAUAAAUUUCUAGUUCAAAUGAGAAAAAUCUUUCACUGGGAAGUGGGGUACUUCUGAAGUACUAACCCCAAAAUAUUAUUUUUUUCUCACUAAUGUGUCAUUGAAACUCACUUUCCUAGCACUUGGUAAGUGUAGUUUCAAUCCAAAAUUGUUGAAGUGAAUUGCAAAAGGUCCUGCAUCAGUCUAGUGUCAAAGACAGGUCUGGAAUUCAGGUACUCUGAUUUUUAUAGUCAGGGCAGUCUAUUUAACUGCCUAGCCCCAACAUCUGCAUUAGCAGAUAAUAAAAUUUCAUCUGUGCAGUGGAAAUAAUUAUUUUGUCCUAUUUAAGAGAAUACUUGGCUUCCUUCCUAGCUGUUCUGCAUGUCAGUGACAUGUAUGGAGACAUAUGCAGCCUUCCUAGUUUCAUUGAGUCUUCCUUAUCCACUUCGAAGAACUGCCAGGCUUGCUUUUCUCAACCUCUCACCUGCCUGUUGCUUCCCUUUUGUCAUUUCCACCUCCUGUUUCUUAAAAACUUGCCUCCUGCAGCUUGUUUGGCAUUCUUGAACAAAGGCUUUCUGGCUUGAUUUGGGAGAGAGGUGAAGAGGGAAUCAGAAAUUCCAGUGCACAAAGUUAUCACAAGAUUGUUAGCUAUUUCUUGAAAACAUUCUAUAAGCAUCCCUGACUGCUCCUGGUGACUGCUGUGGUACAAUUCCUACAGCCACAAAUUGAGUCCUAUAGUACUCCUACUAUAGGAUUGAACUGUACUACAGGGCAGGAAGAGACGCGCUGUACCGCUCCCAAGCAUGUCCUGACAGUAAAUGCAGCAAUGCUAAGUAGUAUAGUUUUGUAGCUUACAUCUGGCAUGUAUAUGUCUGCACUGGGGCUCAGCCCUAAUAAAGUGACCUUUUUUUCUUUUUUGUGGCAAUGUUAUGCAUAUUUUCUUUGUCAUAGAUGGCUAUAAGUUUAUGGAAUGAGAGUCACAUUGCACUUUUGAAAAUGCUGUUAAAAAUUAACAUUCUCUACAACAUUUAUUUUUGCUUGAAGGUUGUGGUGAUUGUUUUGUUUGGUUUUUUUUUUUAUAAUGAUGAAACCCCCAAGCCCAAAAAUUGUAGUUUAAUGCUUUUUCUGUGCCAUCUUCAAACACCUUUCCAAUACGGAAGGCAGGGUGAAAGCUGAUUAUUUUUAAAAAAAAUUAAAUAAUCUCCUUUUAAAGCCAAGGAAACAAAAUAGUUCUAGUGCUAAAAUGAAAACUACAGUUUCAGCUGGUGUAAAAGCAGAUUAGCAGAUCUCCGACUUCUUCCUCAGCAAUCAGGUCUUCACAGUUUCCAGAGUAGGUUAUCUGAGUUUAAUAAUCCUUUAGUUUCAUUGCUUUCCUUUGUGCUUCUUAAUUUUUCUGCCUAAUGUAAAGGUAUGGUGUGUUGUACCUCCCGCCAUUUUUUUUUUUUGCCCAUUGACAAAUAGUUUCAUAGUUAAACUUGGAGGUCAGUCACAGCUGGUGAUAGGAUACGAAACUCCUUAUUUAGCCAGCGCUCUGAAAGAGGGUUUUGCAAUUCUUGUAAUGGUUAAAAAACUCACUGAGCCAGAGACAAAGCCAGCCAAUGGAUUGAUAACUACAAAUAAUCAUAGCAUCAUUUAUAACUGAAUAAUGCCCAUGAGAUGUACAAACUAGUAGGAGGUCUCAUGUCCAUUUUUAAGGUGGGUAAGUUGAGCUGCAGUAAAGUCACCUUUCCUGCUCACCCAAAAGGACUUGGUCCUCCUUAGACAUGCAGGCUAGUCUUCAGGUUUGUGGGGGUUUAUGCCCAGUUAGUUAUAAAAAUAGAUGCAGCUACUUCUAAGACACAGAGGCAGGAAAGGAAAAGUUAAAUUAACAAAUUGAAGACUUGACUUGUAUGAGAAUACAUGGAUACUUUUUUUUAUUCAGAGACAGAAGGAGGGGAAGAAGAGGGAAGGAAGCAAAUUCCAUGGCAUGGAAGUUGUUAUCAAAACCAAAUUAAUUUUAAAGUAGACGGGCCUUUUUAGAAAGUUACAAAGCGGGGUUCCUUCACUGUUGAUGCCUUUAAAGUGGACACGAUAUACUGGAAUAAGGGUGAUGCAUUGGUGCUGAAUAGGAGGUGCACACUGGAUGCGAUGGCCUGGCUGGUGGAGUUAAUGGAGUUGCUGCCAUUGGCUUUGUGAGUGCUUUGGUUUUGGCUCAUAAGCUGCUUACAGUUCCGCUUCUGCAGGGAGAAUAAAGAACAAUCAGCAAGUUUGUACAGAGGCUGCUGGUAGACAUCAGCCAUGAGUUCUAGCCUGGCAUUUAAUUAAAAUUUAAUUAAAUAAAUGUUUCUCUGGAAAUAAUUGAGAAUCGUAAUCCCCUUGUGGCGGCAUUGUUUUUCCUCCUAGGUGGGUAGGGAGUUUCUGGGUGGCAAAAGCAGGAGUUUUACAAGUAAUCCCCGCGCUCUGUCCUGUAAAGCUGUAAUUCAGGUACAUUUUGUGUCUGCUGAUGCAAUAGUAGCUACAGGGGUGAAGGAGGACGUGGAUAAGUAGUGUUCAGUUUUACUUGAGUAGCCUGCAGAGUGAGGGUCCCUACCUCCUUCCAUGAGGAAGGAGGACUUUAAAGCAUGGGAAGCGCUUCGUGCACCACCCUAGUAAACGGAGGCCUCGACUGAAAGAUAAAACUUGUAUGCUGCUCCAGUAAAACACAUUACGUGUUUGUUAUUUUCUGGGUAACAGCCAGAUCAUUUGUUGUCCCUCCACACACACACUUGAUUUAUAAAGGAAGUCUUCAGUCUUUUGAAUGUCAUACAAAACUGUUCAAAACCAGAUUUGAGCAACUGAAAUUCAAUUAGUUCAAUCAGAGCAAUUCAAUUGACACAGCUGAGUCCUGUGAUCUGAACAAAAGAUUUUGCUUUAAUUGUGUAGGAAUAUAUAAAUGGUGAUGUGAUUGUCUUGUUCCCAGUCCUCCAGAUAGAUUUAAUGCAUUUUAAAGUUUACUGGUAUACAUCCCAUUCCACUGCUUGAGGUUUAUGUGAUACUUCCACCUUUCAUUAAAUUAUACGUGAAAACAGUCCCCUGGAAAACAAGAAGGUGUUGGUGUUUUCUGUGGGCGAGGCUGGUGAACAUUCGGGGUUAACGUGUAGUGUUACGGCUAAAUUCAGUAGAUGGCUCAGUCAUCCGACAGAACGGUCCUGUAACAUCCGUUUGCAGAUGAUAAACCAUUUGAGGUUGUGAUUCAUGAGCAGCUGUAGUGAUGCUCAAGUCAAAAACUGAGCUUUAUCUCAGAGCGGAAGAGGUUAUGAUGUCCCAUUCUCUUAAAUCUACUCAACACUGGUCAGUCUACAAUGUAUAAUGGGGUGCAAAGCAAGUGUAAACAUGUUUAUUCCCUAACAAGAAGACCAAGAUGCUCCACUGGCUAGAAGCAGAGGUUUCCUUUGUCAUCUUGCUGCUGCCACUAGCAGUUAUGCUCUUGGACUUCAUUUUUCCCGUGGCAUCUGUGGCUGGUUGCCACCAGUCCUCUGCUCACCCUCUUAGGUGCUUCCUUACCGUGUCAUGGUUGUUUUUCUGUAUAUAAUCAAAGACUGUAGUUGUCAUGUUGCUUCUUCGUCUCUCACUUUGCAUAAGCGUGAAACUAGUGGUCAUACCAGAAGUUCUGGUGUUACCUAGUUCUGUUUUCUGUCACAAUUUAAAAUCUCAUUUUGCCUUUCUGAAGGUGGCUGUGUAAAUGAGGCAUCAGCGUACGCAUCACACAGUUAAACUGGCGAUUAGCUUCCUCUGCCAGUCUUCCUUCACUGUCUUAGUGAAGCAGCAGAUCAAACAGCCUUAUUUGCUUAUCAUGCAAAUUAAAAUUGGGCAUCAUCUUUGAAAUAAGAUUUUUCUCUGAAAACUUCCAUAUUUCUUUCUACAUGAAAUCUUAAAUGAUGAGGUCCUUGGCCAUCUGCACAUGAGAAAACUUAGGCAGCAUCUCAUCAUUUAAUUAAUCACUCCUUCCAACAUUGUUUUCUCUAACUUGACAAAUUUCAUCGUGUGUUACAUCCACACAGAGUGAUGCUGCGGAGGGUCUUGUACAGAAUGGUGGUUUGUUAUUUCAUCCCUUUCUUGUGCUCUGCUCUCUUGCUUUCAGUAAGAAGUGUUUUUCCUUAUCUCGGAUCCUGCCCUGCCUUAUUUCUCAUCACCUCUCCUUAGUCAGCUGCUAGUUUUGCUUGAUAUAGUGUGCCCAGCCUCUGUUGACUGCAUGUUGCAUUUAAAACCAUGAUUUUCAUACAAGGAGGAGUAUCCUGUAAAAAAAACCUUCUCCUAAAUAACCCUUAAUUUUCCUUUACUGUGAUGACUGCAAAAGUUUUCAGAAUUCUUUUUCGAUGUGCUGUUGGGACUGUCACUGGUGUCUUGCUGUUUCUUUGGGCCUCCCUGCCUUGUCUUGCUCUGCUGUUGCCUCUUUUAUUUCUUUUUUGUGCAUUUUGUGGAAUUACUGUCACAUAUUUAUCCUAUCCCAGGACUAGGCAUGAGUCAGUGGCUAGACUUUAUGGACGUUAGAGUAAAAGAAAUAAAUAAUGAUAGAAUAUGAACUAAUCAAACAUUGACUCAUAAGUACAGAAGGUGACAUCUAGUCCAUACUUUUUCAGGGCAGGGUCAGCUGCACGUAACUUUCUUCCUAACAGAUGUUUAUGUAGGCUGCUGUUGGAAGUAAAUAAUACUGACCUUUCUGCUCCCCCAGUAAUUUGCUCUAGUUCCUUGCCAUUCUUGCUGGUCAAAACAUGUAACCUGAAUCUUUCUUGCUGCGGUGUAAACCCAUUUCUUCUCAUAUGGGCUGGGAAAAGGAAAAAAAGUAUUUCCCUUUUCUUUCUUUCUUUUUUUUUUUUUGCCCCCCCCCCCCCCCCCCUCCUUCCCCCUCAAACACUUUAUUUAAAGUACUUACAGACUUUGUGGUCACUUUUUCAGGCCAGCCUCCUCUGUCUCUUCAGCCCUUCCUUGUAGGUUAUUUACUGAACAUCUGAUCAUUCUUACUGGCUUUCUGUAUAUAGUUUGUAUUAGAUACACCCCUUUCUUAAGGCACAACGUUCCAAAGCAGGGUGCUGUGCUCCAGCUGAAACCUGGGCUAUAUUUGUCUUUGAUCCGCAUGAAGUGCAGCACUGCCAUCAAAAUAAACACUGUUGACUCAUGUUCACCUUGUAAUUUCUCUGCAACCAUUAGAUUAUUUUCUGUAGAGUUACUUAGCUCGUUCUUUCCAUCCAGUAUUUAUGUGACUGAAGUGACAGUAAUAAGUAGCUGCAGUUUUUUCCCCUCAACGAGGGUCUCUGGAUGAUAAAUGUGUCUGAAAAUCUAUUCCUAGAGGGAGGUGUGAUCAGCAUGGCAAAGUUCAGUGGCCUCAAACUGGAAACAGGACUGGGGAAGAUGCAGAGGCUGUUCAAAAGCCUCUCGUGGAUACAAGACAUCUUAACUUUUUCAUGGUGGUUUGGCUGUAUCCUUGGAGUCACAGCAUCUCUUAGAUGAAAUAGCAUUGCUGCUCUGAUACUUAUCCGUUAGGUAUGUAGAGGGAGGAAUUUUAUCCCUUUUCAGCCUUCCUUUUUGUGAAGUGCCUAUACACUUGAAGAGAUCUGUUACAAAGAUAAGUCUUAGCUUUUCUUCUCUGGACUUGUUCUUUACUAACAAGCCCAAUUAUAUUUUUAUUCACUUCUCUGAUCUUUUUUUAUCCUGGGUGAUGCAACAUAAGGGAUCAAGGUUUCAUUGCUGAAUCUUGAACCUUAAGAGACAACAGAUAGAAGCGUAAGUGUAUCAGAUGGUACAUUGAAGAGUGAGUCAGUGGACCAAGUGCCUGAAAUACAUCUUCCCCAUCCACAUGGUCCCAGAGUGCUGUAGUGGUUGAGGGGCAAACUGCCAAUAGUGGACCCAGCAAAAUCUUGCAAGUGUUUUCAGAAUGAAAAAAAUGCUUGAGGGGACAGAAAAGAUUUGAGUAGAAAAAGAGAGGAAAGAUUUCUAGUUACUAAUUGCUAUCCAUACUUAGUGCAGUACUACUAUUCUAGGCCUUGGAAAAUGACAUGUUUUUUUUUUUUAAAUACAUCAAAAGCAAACCCAGGAGUAAGCGGUGGAUAUUAAAUAUUGAAAUACCAAAAAGGAUUUGUCAUCUGCUAAGCAUAAAAAGACUUCACUUCAAAAAGAAACAGGCUGUCUAGGCCCUGUAUGUUUGUUUUUCUUUAUAUGGAUCAUGUAUUCCCAUUUCUGUUAAAGCAACAUUGACAUUUGGUUAAAUGGAAGUGCUUUUACUUUACAGAAAUGCUAUUACAAAAAUAGUGAUUUAAUCAAAUGAGCUUCACAGAAUAUUCACAGUUCACCCUCUUGUGUGCUAGAGUUCAGCGCUGUACAAACAGAAUCAGAAAUUCUUUGCUUACCUAGCAGCAAAUUGGCUGCUUAGUCAGAUAUGCAAAACACCCUGUUGAGCAUACAAUGCUGAAAGAAAGUUUUGAUAAUUUA